UUUUAAGAAAAUCGAGUAAGGAUAUUGUUGGUGUCCUUAACUCAAGAAUUUAGUUUUCAAUUAUUUAUUUACUAAAUUUUGGAAACCCGGCGUGAUGAAUCAAGUAUGUUUAGUACAUCCACUAAGACUUUAAGUUAGCUUCACGAGACCUAUUAAGAAUAGAAUUUCUUGUAGGCUUUGUGACCAGGGGGAUUAGCGCUGCUUCCCAAGACAGGUUUAUAUGUGAUUAUGAUCUUCAGGCUUUGCCUAACCAGGUUGAGCAGUUGAUGGAAUGGAAUGAUGUUGAGCGGGUGUUCCUUUGACAUUUCAAGAAAUGUAACCUUGAGGAUACAUCUUCAUAUGUAUAUCUCACACGUUUUUCCGCUGCAAAACACUUUGAUUAGGAUAACUCUAUGUUAUGAAGUUGUGACACGUGUUAUUGGGUAACCCACCUUAAUCAGUUCUCCUUUA